UAGGGAAGGGCAGAAAUCUCUAAAAUCGUUAGGUAAGCUCAAAAUAAAACAACGAAUUUUCGACCAACAAUUAAGGUUGACAAGGACAGUCCCAUACUGUAUUUCUUACAUUUAAAUUGCGUUACGAAACACCCUUUUCUAGGGUUGUGGCUAGAAUGGAUACAGCUACGGCCCUAAUUUCGCCGGAUAAACGCUGUUUUUCCUAACCCUAAAUCCAACAUUUGAUGGAAUAUAGGCUGUAACUGUAUCAUAUCUAGCCAGAACCGCUGUUUUUCAUCCUAAUCCUACCCCUAAACCAAACAAACAUCUCGCGAGAUUUGCCGUAGCUGUAUCCCCUCUAGCCAAAACCCUUUUCUAGGUUGCUCCAGCUACUGCGCGAUGGUUGGAAAUCGCUUCCCAAAACGCCCAUAAGAAGCUCCGCCAACAUAUACAGUAAUCGUCAGUCUUUAGCGAUUGCGUUGCACUUUUCCCCUUCAUAAUAUUGAGACUGAGCCGCCUUAGUUUUUCUAUAGUCUUUGCUGUUACUCGCACCAGCUGGACAUCGAAACGCGGUGCACAUUUUACCUGUCGAGUCAUAAAUAGAUGAAAUGUCUUAUCACCUACACACCGCUGUCGUUUGACUGGGGGCGUGGCCAGCGAGGUGCGGCAGAGGCGGGUCUAUGCGUCACGUGACUGCUCAAGCGCUUACCUUUAACUUUAUGUACUAAGUUCACAUUAAAGAGUAACUAAACCCCUGGUCAGAGCCUGACUCCACCCACUGGCAAUAUUUGAAAAAUGCAAGAAAAGUGGGCAGAUCCCAACGAAGAUAGAGGGGACGAACUAAGCUCGUGUGGUGAGAUCGUAACAAGGGCGUGGUGAGCUUGAACCUGCUUAUGUCACGAGUCAUUUUUUGGACCCAACAUCCAAUGGGAAAAUUCAACUGCAGUAGCCACCGUUCAACCUGAAGAGGGCAGCAAUCAGACGUUUUUACACCAUAUAUUAUAGUAUUGAAACACUUUAUAUCCAAAUGUCAAAAAAAUACUAAAACCAAUGAACAGCACUAAUAAAGCAUCAU